CUACGGGUGGCAGCAGUGGGGAAUAUUGCACAAUGGAGGAAACUCUGAUGCAGCAACGCCGCGUGGAGGAUGACACUUUUCGGAGCGUAAACUCCUUUUAUAUAGGAAGAAGAUGACGGUACUAUAUGAAUAAGCGCCGGCUAACUCCGUGCCAGCAGCCGGGGUAAUACGGAGGGCGCAAGCGUUACUCGGAAUCACUGGGCGUAAAGAGCGUGUAGGCGGAUUAAAAAGUCAGAAGUGAAAUCCUAUAGCUUAACUAUAGAACUGCUUCUGAAACUCUUAAUCUAGAAUAUGGGAGAGGUAGAUGGAAUUGCUGGUGUAGGGGUAAAAUCCGUAGAGAUCAGAAGGAAUACCGAUUGCGAAGGCGAUCUACUAGAACAUUAUUGACGCUGAGACGCGAAAGCGUGGGGAGCAAACAGGAUUAGAUACCCCCGUAGUC
rnacentral:rRNA from 1 species